UUGGGGUGAUCCUAUGCUGCCGAGAAAAGCCUCUAGCGAGUGUCGUGGCGGCCCGUACCCUAAACCGACUCAGGUGGUCAGGUAGAGAAUACUAAGGCGUUCGGGUGAACUGUGGUUAAGGAACUCGGCAAUUUGCCCCCGUAACUUCGGGAGAAGGGGGGCCUUCGCUGGUGUAGGACUUUGCGUCCGUAGCUGGUGGGGGCCGCAGUGGCCAGGGGGAAGCGACUGUUUACUAAAAACACAGGUCCGUGCGAAGUCGUAAGACGAUGUAUACGGACUGACGCCUGCCCGGUGCCGGAACGUUAAGGGGACCGCUUAGCCGCUCUUGUGUGGCGAAGGUGAGAACUUAAGCGCCGGUAAACGGCGGUGGUAACUAUAACCAUCCUAAGGUAGCGAAAUUCCUUGUCGGGUAAGUUCCGACCUGCACGAAUGGCGUAACGACUUCCCCGCUGUCUCAACCACAGACCCGGUGAAAUUGCAGUACGAGUAAAGAUGCUCGUUUCGCGCAGCAGGACGGAAAGACCCCGGGACCUUCACUAUAGCUUGACAUUGGUGUUUGGGAUGGCUUGUGUAGGAUAGGUGGGAGACUGGGAAGCUGCAACGCUAGUUGUGGUGGAGUCAUUGGUGAAAUACCACUCUGGUCGUUUUGGAUGUCUAACCCGCGCCCGUGUAUCCGGGUGGGGGACAGUGUCUGGUGGGUAGUUUAACUGGGGCGGUUGCCUCCUAAAGAGUAACGGAGGCGCCCAAAGGUUCCCUCAGCCUGGUUGGCAAUCAGGUGUCGAGUGUAAGUGCACAAGGGAGCUUGACUGUGAGACUGACGGGUCGAGCAGGAGCGAAAGCUGGGACUAGUGAUCCGGCAUCGGCAUGUGGAAGCGGUGUCGCUCAACGGCUAAAAGGUACCCCGGGGAUAACAGGCUGAUCUUCCCCAAGAGUCCAUAUCGACGGGAUGGUUUGGCACCUCGAUGUCGGCUCGUCGCAUCCUGGGGCUGGAGUAGGUCCCAAGGGUUGGGCUGUUCGCCCAUUAAAGCGGUACGCGAGCUGGGUUUAGAACGUCGCGAGACAGUUCGGUCCCUAUCCGCUGCGCGCGCAGGAGACUUGAAAGGGGCUGUCCCUAGUACGAGAGGACCGGGACGGACGAACCUCUGGUGUGCCAGUUGUUCCGCCAGGAGCACGGCUGGUUGGCUACGUUCGGUAGGGAUAACCGCUGAAAGCAUCUAAGCGGGAAGCUCGCCUUGAGAUGAGGUCUCCCACCCAGUGAUGGGGUAAUGCUCCCUGGAGACGACAGGGUUGAUAGGCCGGAAGUGGAAGCACGGUAACGUGUGGAGCUGACCGGUACUAAUAGGCCGAGGACUUGACCAC
rnacentral:rRNA from 1 species